ACUAAUAGUUCAAAUGAAUUUUUUUGGUUUAGAUUAAAUAGUUUAAUUAAAUUAAAAAAUUAUUUUUUAGGUGAAAUUUAAAAUAUUUAUUUUUUUUAAAAAAAAAAUUGAAGUCUAUAAAUUAAUAAAAAAACUAGGAUUAGAUACCCUAUUAUUAUAACUUAAAUUUUUUCCAUAUGAUUAAUAGUUAAGUUCUUUAAAGUAAAAAAAUUUGGCGGUAUUUUAUUCUUGUUAGAGGAACCUGUUCUGUAAUUGAUAUUCCACGAUAAAAUUUACUUUUUCUUUUAGUUUGCAUAUCGUUGUUUAAAAUAUUUUAUUAGGAUAUAUUUUUUUAUUAAAUUAUAAUAAAUUUCAGAUCAAGAUGUAGUUUAUGAAAAAGAAGAAAUGGGUUACAAUAAAAAUAGUUUUGGUUAAAUUUAUUUAAAAGAUUUAUAAAUUGGAUUUAAUUGUAAAUUUAUAUAUUUAUGUAAAUUGAUUAUAGUUCUAAAAU
rnacentral:rRNA from 1 species